rnacentral:rRNA from 1 species
ACUUGGAUAACUGUGGUAAUUCUAGAGCUAAUACAUGCAAUCAGAACUCUGACCAGUGAUGGGAUGAGUGCUUUUAUUAGAUCAAAACCAAUCGACGGAGGGCCCCGCGUCCGAAGUCGUUAAUUUUGAUGAAUCUGGAUAACUUUUGCCGAUCGCACGGUCAAGCACCGGCGACGCAUCUUUCAAAUGUCUGCCUUAUCAACUUUCGAUGGUAGUUUCUGCGACUACCAUGGUUGUCACGGGUAACGGGGAAUCAGGGUUCGAUUCCGGAGAGGGAGCCUGAGAAACGGCUACCACAUCCAAGGAAGGCAGCAGGCGCGCAAAUUACCCACUCCCGGCACGGGGAGGUAGUGACGAAAAAUAACGAUACGGGACUCUUACGAGGCCUCGUAAUCGGAAUGAGUACACUUUAAAUAUUUUAACGAGGAACAAUUGGAGGGCAAGUCUGGUGCCAGCAGCCGCGGUAACUCCAGCUCCAAUAGCGUAUACUAAAAUUGUUGCGGUUAAAAAGCUCGUAGUUGCAUUUGUGCGCCGCGCUGUCGGUGCACCGCAUCCGCGGUGAUACUGACACGUCUGCGGAGCAUAUCGUCGGUGAGCCGUCGGUAAAACGGCGGUUCAAUAUCAAAAUCCUAUCGCGGUGCUCUUAAAUGAGUGUCGAGAUGGGCCGACAAUUUUACUUUGAACAAAUUAGAGUGCUCAAAGCGGGCUCAAAAUGCCGCUCGAAUAUUUCGUGCAUGGAAUAAUAGAAUAUGAUCUCGGUUCUAUUUUGUUGGUUUUCAGAACUCCGAGGUAAUGAUUAAUAGGGAUAACUGGGGGCAUUCGUAUUGCGACGUUAGAGGUGAAAUUCUUGGAUCGUCGCAAGACGAACAUCAGCGAAAGCAUUUGCCAAAGGUGUUUUCAUCAAUCAAGAACGAAAGUUAGAGGUUCGAAGGCGAUUAGAUACCGCCCUAGUUCUAACCGUAAAUAUGUCAUCUAGCGAUCCGCCGACGUUACUACGAUGGCUCGGCGGGCAGCUUCCGGGAAACCAAAGAUUUUGGACUCCGGGGGGAGUAUGGUUGCAAAGCUGAAACUUAAAGGAAUUGACGGAAGGGCACCACCAGGAGUGGAGCCUGCGGCUUAAUUUGACUCAACACGGGAAAUCUCACCAGGCCCGGACACCGGAAGGAUUGACAGAUUAACAGCUCUUUCUUGAUUCGGUGGGUGGUGGUGCAUGGCCGUUCUUAGUUGGUGGAGCGAUUUGUCUGGUUAAUUCCGGUAACGAACGAGACUCUAGCCUGCUAAAUAGGCGUCGUCAUUUAGGUGUGCGCGGCUCCGGUCGCGCAACUCACUGGCGACGUAUUAAAAUUCUUCUUAGAGGGACCGGCGGCUUCGAGCCGCACGAGAUUGAGCAAUAACAGGUCUGUGAUGCCCUUAGAUGUCCUGGGCCGCACGCGCGCUACACUGAAGGAAUCAGCAUGUUCUCCCUGGCCUAGAGGCCCGGGCAACCCGUUGAAACUCCUUCGUGCUGGGGAUUGGGGUUUGCAAUUAUCCCCCAUAAACGAGGAAUUCCUAGUAAGCGCGAGUCAUAAGCUCGCGUUGAUUACGUCCCUGCCCUUUGUACACACCGCCCGUCGCUACUACCGAUUGAAUGAUUUAGUGAGGUCUUCGGACCGACACGCGGUGGCUUCGCGGCCGUCGGCGUUGCUGGGAAGUUGACCAAAC